GGAAAAUUAAAUCUUUGAAACCUCUCAACCCUUUUUGCAUUAUCCACUGCCAUUCAAAAAUUUUUGGCGAGAUCCUUAAGAAAUUCGAUGAGUUGUGUCCUCAUUUUGUUAAGUUUUUCCCAUCAAUAGGCUUCAUCUUUCUUCUUUACAAAUGUUUUUAUCUUCUAAUGGGGUAAUCUAAUAUUAGGACUAGCUACAUAGAUGGGGGUUACCUUAACCAGUACUAUCGAUCUUGUCCAAGCUACUACGGUUGGUCAGAGCAUUUUACCUAUUAGAGAAGGUCAUAUAGAUUAUGACUCAAGUUGAAGGCAACUAAAAUUCCUUCAAUUGAAAAUGUAUCCUACCUGGUAGAUUUGAGGAAAAAAUACUGCAUUCCCUACAAUAUUGAAAUCUUAGCCCCAUCUUCCGAUGAGCAAACCUGCUUUUCUAGCUUAGGUGUGUCAUCGUUAGUAAGUUUCUUCUGAAAGGGGACUUCAUCUGCCCCUUCAUCCUUUCUAUAGGACUGUUCUGAGGUCAUACGGGCUGACGCCUACCCAGCUUGUCCCCAAUGCUCGGGGCCAAUUAGUAGGGACCUAUUUCCUCUAGAAAAAGACCUCCUUUGGUGAGGACAUGUCCCUACACAUUUUCCAAACCAUUAUCCAGCCUAAGGUUUUGGGAAAAAGGAUUCCAAUGGUUGGUACUCUCUUUGUCCGUGGGGUCAUAUUUCCUAUUCGUUAUAAACCUUCCUUCCUCCAUCAAAGGAUGAAAUGAGACUCGGUUCUAGGUAAGGAGACAGUAGCAAAUGCGUGAGGAUACUAUGGCUCCUCACGUGAUAGUUCCAACUUUAGUUGUAAUGUUUUGGUAAUGGAAUUGAUUCGGACUUUUGAUGUUGUAGGCGUCAGUUGAAUGCUUCAAGUUGAUUGAGGCUGAGUUCGGUGUAGUUGAGGACAUUUACCUUCGUACAAUAUCUUCUAGGAAGUUCGAGCAGUAAGUUGUUGCUCAUUGAUUCUUCGAGAAGUUCAAACUUAUGGCCCAGAAAGGUAAUACCACAUUUUCUCUAGUCUCUAUCUAUCAAUGUUAUGCUAAUGACAUUUGUCACUGAUUUGCAGAAGACUUAGAGAGAGAAAAGUAUCCAUCCCGAAUAUAGCUUUCAUCAUUGCCGUAACAUCGACGGGUUAGGAAAAAGGGAUUAGAGCCCUCGUCUGUUGCUAUAAGUAGGUGAGGGACAAAGUAGAGAAGGUCAGCAGCGAGGCUACUGACAUUGAAGGUGAGAUGCGAUCCCCUCCCAAGGAUAAAGAAAAAAAUGGAGGAUGUCUCCAAGAAGAAAUACAAGGUCUCCUCCACUGGAGAAGAGGGUCGAUGGCCAGCUCAUUACCUUAAACGAAAGUCCCACGAAAAAAUUGAUGGAAGCCUUUAUUGCUGUAGCCAAGCCUACUCUUAUGGAGCCCUCAAGGCAAAGAAUCAUCGAAGAGGGUGAGGACUUUGAGUGAGUCAACUGCUUCUGAUGUUGCUCUUUUCCUCAGGCUCUCCGUCUCAAAAAGUAGCAAUGAGUUGCUCUGAAGGUUCUGUCCAUGCUUCCACCAAAGGUUCAAAUUGCAACUUCCACAUUUCACAAGUACUGGACGAAUAGGUGGCCGAACUUCAUGGAGACUAGUGAUUCAAUAGACACAUUUACCAACAUGGUAAACCAGGUAGGGAGUGCCUUUGGCACCGCCAUAAAAGCUGAAGUCCUCUUUAAAAAACUUCAAAAGAAAAAUAAGUUGUUAUUGAAUAAGGUCUCCCAGGCCAAUGAGAUAACCAUGAAGGCUAAAGUCGAAGCUAAAGCUAUAAGAAAAUAGCAAGUUGGGGAGUCUGUGAAGCUCGUCUCUGCUUUAGCAGAGAUUGAAAAUCUGAAGAAGAAAGUCCACUUAUCUUAAAGUGAAGUGGCUUCCCUGACUAAAUGAGUGGAGACUUCGAAUGCUCAUCAAAAACUAAUUAUUGAGGCCUUAGAGAAGGCAAAUAAAAGAACGUGGUAUUAAAGCAAAAGAUGAGGGAGCUCAACUCUAGGGGUUGCUAGCCUCACUGACGAGGUGGGAUGUGUUUGAGAAGAGCCCAAUCUGCUGGCAAUGAUGCUGUAAAACAAUACAUAGCCAACUUCCACUUAACCAAGGAGUAUCAGCGUUCACCAAUAUUUGUGAAGGUUUUCAUACAUCGAGGUGGUGGAAUGGAUUGAGUUUAUGUCAGAGUUUCUAGACAAAGGAGAGCCUGAGACCUCAAUAGAGAACAUCUGUGUCAUUAAGCUUAAAGAUGAUGAAGCUGGAGAUGAGCAUUUAACUUCCAAAGUAGAUGGUCCUCAAGUUAUUAUCCCUUUUACUGGUGCUCUCUCUCUUCCUCCACUUAUUUAGCUUAUAGGAUUUAUUUUUAUUUUUCUUAUUUUUACUUCUUUGUAAGUGGCUUCGCCCUCAAUGUAAAUAUUGUUGUUC
rnacentral:lncRNA from 1 species